rnacentral:lncRNA from 1 species
CCCAGCUCAAAAACCAACCAAUCCACUAAGUGCUGAUAAUGCACUACCCUAGUUGUGGGACUAGCAUGGGGCUCCACCUAUCGGGCUCUCGCUAUGGCAGCCUGGGUCAAUGCUCUCACUCGGGCCUGGAUAUCUGGGGAUGGUACUCGGACGCCCUGGUAAGGUCCAAUAGGAAUCUGAUCAAGAUGGGCUGCUAAAGUGGGGCUGUGCUCCCUGAUAAAGGUCCUAUCUACAGCCUGAUGCACAUGAUAAGGGAUAGGAGACCUGAUACCCGAGGGAUAGGUAGGUGAUGGAAUCUGUGGCAGCACAGGGGAUGGCAUAGGUGGUGGCACAGGUGAUGGCAUGGGUGGUGGCACAGAUGGUGGCAUAAAUGGCGACAUAGGUGGUGACACAGGUGGUCGCCCAGGUGGUCUAACAGCAGACGGCCCACACCCAGGUGGAAAGUCACGAACAGCAGAUACGGAUCUGCGGACUAUGCGGGGUCUAGAGCUCGACUCGGCCUCGAAACCAGAAGGGGGAUACUGAGUAGUGGCAAUAGGGUUCCACUGAGGGAAGGAAUCAUCAAGACUAGACUCCUGGCCCUGGGAGGAUGAAUGGUGAGGUGUCUCUGAAUCGCUAGAAAUCUCAAUAGGGGCCUGCC